AUGGUGUCAAUCUCAUCGAUGAAUAUGAUGCAAGGGGAUUGCUUCUUUGCUUCACUGAAGAGCUCCCUCACUCUUUUAGGCCCAACACCCACCCACAUCUCCUCGAACUCGCUGCCGCUGCGUGCAAAGAAUGGGACGCCAGCUUCCUCGGCUACAGCUCUCGCCAACAUGGUUUUCCCUGUGCCCGGUGGGCCAGCAAGCAGAACACCCUUUGGAAGCUUGCCACCAAGGCUCGUGAAAUGCUGCAAAUUAAGCAUGCUAAGUAAACAAUUCGAUCAACAUCUAGUCUACAGAAACAAAAAGGAGAACUGA
rnacentral:rRNA from 1 species